CUGUUGCAUUGUGGGUGGAAACGUUACGGCCCUGCGCAUGCUCCUCCUCCUGUCCUCAGAACGCCCGGACUGUGGUAGGUGCUGGAGCUUGUCUUCGAGCGGGAGAGGUCUGACGACUAUGCAGGGCCCUGAUAACGCUCAGGCUGGUCCAGAGGAAGACUAUGGAGAUAAUGGUGUGAGAGGCGGCCCUUCACACCCUAUGUUCCUUGGAGGCGGGGACGGCCCGGGAGCAGAAGGGGCCGAUCAUACUGAACAUCCCCAAGGCCAGCGAGCAGUGCCGGGACCACUGCCAGAUGGAGACGCCUCAGCUGCGGCCUUAAUCACCGAACCGAUGGAAUUGCACCUCAGGUUUCCUUACAGUUACGCGGAGGAUGCAGAGAUUGCUUGCAUGUACCUGGGUCCAGUAGUUCGGUCCCUUCCGGAAGGAAUUUACAGCGAAAUCACCAUAGAUGGCAACCACCUGAAUAUCCUGCUCACUUCGGAAAAUUCCCACCUUGUGGAGUUUGCUACUGCUGCCUGCGACUUGAUCCACCUUCUGUCCAUGGUGUUUCUGGUAUUUGAGGAUUUUGAGACUUAGUUUCUGGACAAGCUUCAGCUAGAAAAUAGGAUUCAAUUUUCUUAAUAUAUCCCCCACCCCCAGGCAGUCCAUCCUACGCUAGAUUAGGGAUUCCUGAAGGCUGCUGUCACCUUCUUUAAUUCUCUGGUCUGCCCUCUGGUGCAUAAAUAUUUGUUCAUGCUCAAAAUAAAAUGAACGGCUCUUCG
rnacentral:lncRNA from 1 species